AAUCUUCGACAAUGGGCGAAAGCCUGAUGGAGCAACGCCGCGUGAGCGAAGAAGGUCUUCGGAUCGUACAGCUCUGUUGUAAGGGAAGAACAAGCGCAGCAGUAACUGGCUGCGCCCUGACGGUCUCUUACUAAGAAGCCACGGCUACCUACCUGCCAGCAGCCGCGGUAAUACGGAGGUGGCAAGCGUUGUCCGGAAUUAUUGGGCGUAAAGCGCGCGCAGGCGGUCUCUUAAGUCAGAUGUGAAAGCCCCCGGCUCAACCGGGGAGGGUCAUUGGAAACUGGGAGACUUGAAUGCAGGAGAGGGAAGUGGAAUUCCAUGUGUAGCGGUGAAAUGCGUAGAGAUAUGGAGGAACACCAGUGGCGAAGGCGGCUUCCUGGCCUGUAACUGACGCUGAGGCGCGAAAGCGUGGGGAGCAAACAGG
rnacentral:rRNA from 1 species